GACAGAGGGGGCAAGCGUUGCUCGGAAUCACUGGGCGUAAAGGGCGCGUAGGCGGGAUGGCAAGUCGGUCGUGAAAUCCUUCGGCUCAACCGAAGAACGUCGGCCGAUACUGCCGUUCUUGAGGGAUGCAGAGGAGAUUGGAAUUCCCGGUGUAGCGGUGAAAUGUGUAGAGAUCGGGAGGAACACCGGUGGGCGAAGGC
rnacentral:rRNA from 1 species